UACGUAGGGGGCUAGCGUUGUCCGGAAUCAUUGGGCGUAAAGAGCGUGUAGGUGGUUCGAUAAGUCUGCUGUGAAAGUCCAGGGCUCAACCCUGGGAUGCCGGUGGAUACUGUCGAGCUAGAGUCCGGAAGAGGCAAGUGGAAUUCCUGGUGUAGCGGUGAAAUGCGCAGAUAUCAGGAGGAACACCAACGGCGAAGGCAGCUUGCUGGGACGGUACUGACACUGAGACGCGAAAGCGUGGGUAGCGAACAGG
rnacentral:rRNA from 1 species